rnacentral:ncRNA from 1 species
GUAAAUGCAUUGAUAAAGAGAGUACACUGCAUACUGUGGAAAAAGAGAAGAUUGCCUUGGCUGAAAGCAAUCCCGAAACAGGCGCAUUGGAAGUUCGCUUUUGAGCAUCAUGGCUGAAGCCGCAAGGUGUGUAAGCUUUUGACGAGUUGGACGCGUUAAGUCUUCAUGAGGGGUUUUCGCACUGCGAAAACUACUAGAGUGGUACCGCGGAAGAAUACAGCCUUUCGUCUCUAUU